GAGCAGAUACACACAUCUGUUGUCAUGGUUACCACCCUGCUGCAGCCCACUGUUGUCAUGGUAGCAUUACUACCCUGCUGCAGCCCACUGUUGUCAUGGUAGCAUUACCACCCUGCUGCAGCCCACUGCUGGAUUGCCUCUGAAGCUAAGCAGGGUUGGUCCUGGUCGGUCCCUAGAUAGGAGACCAGAUGCUGCUGGAAGUGGUGUGGGAGGGCCCCAAUGCCCCAGGGCAGUGAUUGGGGACAUUGCCCUGUGUAGGGUGCUGUCUUUCGGAUGGGACGUUAAACUGGUGUCCUGACUCUCUGUGGUCACUAAAGAUCCCAUGGCACUUAUUGUUAGAGUAGGGGUGUUAACCCUGGUGUCCUGGCUAAAUUCCCAAUCUGGCCCUCAUACCGUCACCUAAUCAUCCCAAGCUUACUAUUGGCUCAUUCAUCGCCACUAUUCCCCAGAUCAUUGCUGUAAAUGGGAAUGUGUUUUUCAGUCAACUUAAUUGGUAGUUUGGGUUCAAUCAAAUAAAUAGAGGUGAAUCCUGGUCCCUGUACAUUGAUUCCAUGUCCAGUAGCUUUUGUCUAUUGACUUUAUUACUUAGGGGCGGCAGGUUCAGUGUGUGUUUUGAUAUUUUAACCUGCGUGUCGUGAUCGCGUUUGGUGUAGGGGGACAAAAUAAAGUGGGUAGAGCGUUGGACUUGUAACUGAAAGGUUGCAAGAUCGAAUCCCAGCUCUAAUAAGGUAAAAAUCUGUCAUUCUGCCCCUGAAAAAGGCAGUUAACCCACUGUUCCUAGGCCGUCAUUGAAAACAAUAAUUUGUUCUUAACUGACUUGCCUUGUUAAAUAAAGGUUAAAUAAAUAAAAAAUAAUACGAUUACUGAAACUUUGCAAGGUUGCAAAAGAGGUUUCUUACCUUUAAAAAUGUUUUUUUUUUUUUUAAACCUUUAUUUAACUAGGCAAGUCAGUUAAGAACAAAUUAUUGUUUUAAAUGAUGGGUUUAGGUUGGAUCCUCUCAAGGUUCUCUGUUAUGUAGGUCUACUGGUGUGUGUUAAUGUUAUGAUGGGUUUAGGUUGAAUCCUCUCAAGGUUCUCUGUACUGUAGGUCUACUGCUGUGUGUUAAUGUAAUGAUGGGUUUAGGUUGGAUCCUCUCAAGGUUCUCUGUUAUGUAGGUCUACUGGUGUGUGUUAAUGUAAUGAUGGGUUUAGUGUGAAUCCUCUCAAGGUUCUCUGUUAUGUAGGUCUACUGCUGUGUGUUAAUGUAAUGAUGGGUUUAGGUUGGAUCCUCUCAAGGUUCUCUGUUAUGUAGGUCUACUGCUGUGUGUUAAUGUAAUGAUGGGUUUAGGUUGAAUCCUCUCAAGGUUCUCUGUUAUGUAGGUCUACUGGUGUGUGUUAAUGUAAUGAUGGGUUUAGGUUGGAUCCUCUCAAGGUUCUCUGUUAUGUAGGUCUACUGGUGUGUGUUAAUGUAAUGAUGGGUUUAGUGUGAAUCCUCUAACUGCGCUCCUGUACUGUAGGUCUACUGCUGUGUGUUAAUGUAAUGAUGGGUUUAGUGUGAAUCCUCUAACUGCGCUCCUGUACUGUAGGUCUACUGCUGUGUGUUAAUGUAAUGAUGGGUUUAGUGUGAAUCCUCUAACUGCGCUCCUGUACUGUAGGUCUACUGGUGUGUGUUAAUGUAAUGAUGGGUUUAGUGUGAAUCCUCUAACUGCGCUCCUGUACUGUAGGUCUACUGCUGUGUGUUAAUGUAAUGAUGGGUUUAGUGUGAAUCCUCUAACUGCGCUCCUGUACUGUAGGUCUACUGCUGUGUGUUAAUGUAAUGAUGGGUUUAGUGUGAAUCCUCUAACUGCGCUCCUGUACUGUAGGUCUACUGCUGUGUUUUAAUGUAAUGAUGGGUUUAGUGUGAAUCCUCUAACUGCGCUCCUGUACUGUAGGUCUACUGCUGUGUGUUAAUGUAAUGAUGGGUUUAGUGUGAAUCCUCUAACUGCGCUCCUGUACUGUAGGUCUACUGCUGUGUGUUAAUGUAAUGAUGGGUUUAGUGUGAAUCCUCUAACUGCGCUCCUGUACUGUAGGUCUACUGCUGUGUGUUAAUGUAAUGAUGGGUUUAGUGUGAAUCCUCUAACUGCGCUCCUGUACUGUAGGUCUACUGCUGUGUGUUAAUGUAAUGAUGGGUUUAGUGUGAAUCCUCUCAUGGUUCUCUGUACUGUAGGUCUACUGCUGUGUUUUAAUGUAAUGAUGGGUUUAGUGUGAAUCCUCUAACUGCGCUCCUGUACUGUAGGUCUACUGCUGUGUUUUAAUGUAAUGAUGGGUUUAGUGUGAAUCCUCUAACUGCGCUCCUGUACUGUUG